GGAUGUGAGGGUUAUCUGGCUGAGACAUCUGUCACCCCACUGAUCGCCAGGGUUGAUCUGGCUGAUCUGGCUGGCUAGGCAAGUGUCCCCUUUCUUCCUCAAUGCUCCAUGUGUGUCCCUUCUGAGGACCGAUCUUAGGUCAAGGGUAUAUGAAUAGCUGCGCUUGCCUGCUAGAACUUUCAAACAAGCUCUCAAGAAAGCUAGCUGAGCAAGCCAGGUGGUCCUUUGGAGGCACACCAUUAAAGGAGAUGUGGAACCCUGUAUCAUUCCUCUUUUG
rnacentral:snRNA from 1 species